AUGACAUCAGAGACGCUACUUCUGUUAAUGCUCUCGCUGUGGAUCCAAGAUACCAGAGGGCAGGUUGUGGUGACUCAAUCUCCAGAGUCUCUGUCAGUCUCCAUUGGAGAAACUGUUACUAUCAAAUGCAAGUCAGAUACAGACAUUGAUGAUGACAUGAACUGGUACCAGCAGAAGUUUGGAGCUGCCCCAAAGCUCCUUCUCUCUGAAGGGUCUGCUCCAGAUUUCACGUUCACAAUCAGCGGCGUUGAAGUGGAUGAUGCUGGAGAUUAUUACUGUCAGCAAAGUGACCGUACCCCGCUCACAGUGAUACAGACCAAUACAAAAACCUCUCCUGCUGCACAAGAAUCCAGCGGGCAGAUCGUUAUCACUCAAACACCCUCUUCUGUGACGGUGCUUCCAGGAGAGACUGAGCCAUGA